CAGGAUGGAACAGCCUGCAGUCCUUGAUUUCCCUGGUUACACCUUGCACAUUCCUUUGGUAUGUGGUCUUCAGAGGUUAUUGAGGUGGUUGUGGAUAAAUCUGCAUAAAGAUCACAGAGCUUCUUGGGAGAGGAAGAGAGGAUGGAAAUCUUCCCUUGUUCCAUUGGAGAGCUGCUGCAGAUGAAGAGCCUGAGGUUCAUGGGCAGGGAAAGGACUCUCCAGUGUGUUCUGCUGCAAGUAACAGCAACUCAAACCAGCAGUAACUUAGCAAAAUAAGAAGAGGAGGAAGAGAAAUUGCUAUUUCCCUCUCCUAUACAAGCCUGGAGCCACCUACGAAGCAGGUACUAUUAUGGUCAUUCUUAUUUGACCGAAGAAGAAACCGAGGCAC